rnacentral:tRNA from 1 species
AAGAGUAUAGUUUAACGGUAAAGCAGGAAGCUUCAAACUUCAAAUUUCGGGUUCAAAUCCUGGUACUCUUG